CAGGGCCCAAUGCAGGCGGUAAGAGAUGGCCAAAGGGAAGGUGAACGUUAAUCCAAACAAGGAAAAAUGGCGCUUGUCAUCAAAAGAAAAUGAAGCAACACCCACUGGUAGCAAGGGGAGUUCAACACCAUUGCCAUCUGCCAUACAGUGCAGCCCUGACAAUGUCAACCAUCAAUCAAGUGGCUGUUUGUAAUCGCCUCCAUCUAUUUCUCCUGUCUCAAGGUAUCUUUCCUAUUGUGGGUCAAAAUUCAGAAACUGCUGACUAAUGCCAGGUCUGUUCCUCCAUGACCAUGAAACAGUCGAAAAGGAGGGUAGCAGGCUCCCUGGAGCCAAGGACCCAGAAGGUUAGAGGUUGAACUUGGGAGUUUGGGGUAUUUUAAAUCUAAGUAAUGUAUAACUGUAAGAAUUUGAGGUAUGUGUGUUUACCCAUAUACUCUGCUUUCCCAAAACAGAAAAAGAGAAAAUUUCCCAAUCAUUAUUAAUGUUUAUUUCCUAUUGGAGGAAGGAAUUUAAAUAUGAACCUUCUCAUAAAAUCUCCAACUGACCAAAUGUUCGGUUCUCUUGGCAUUUAUGGUUGAAAUGACUUCAUCCUACUUUGUCCACGAGGUGUAUUUUUCUCAGGCAGGCUAUUUAGCAUUUUAUUAGUCAGUACGUGGAUAAUACAUGCACAGCCUACAAUAUAGCUGGCAAUCCCGGCCAGGAGGGACAGCUUGGCAGACUGUGAAGGGCACCACCCCAGCGCACAGUGGACGGGGCUCCCCCUGGCCUGGCUUGUUAUCUUGGGACCCUCAGGUCUCGGAUUUUCCACCUGUAAAAUAAAAGCCCGGACUUUUAUUCAGUUCAUUCGUACACCAAAGGACCAAGCUGUGUUUAACUUUAAAAAAUUAUUCCAUGUAAUUGUCUUAUUCACUCUUCUCAAACAAGAUAGGGAUAAAGAGGUCAUCUCCUCCCUAAAGACAAAAUAAAAAGUUACCUAUAUGGAGUAGAUACAAAAACAACCUUAGAACAGAUAUGUCUGAG
ensembl:lncRNA